rnacentral:rRNA from 1 species
GACGAACGCUGGCGGUGUGCUUAACACAUGCAAGUGGUGCGACGAACCAGACUUCGGUCUGGGGCAAAGCCGCGAACGGGUGAGUAACACGUGGGUAAUCUGCCCCGAUGACUGGGACAACCCGAGGAAACUCGGGCUAAUACCGGAUGUGGUGCCUGGACAUAAGUCCGGUCACUAAAGGUAGCUUCGGCUUCCGCAUUGGGAGGGGCCCGCGGCCCAUUAGCUUGUUGGUGGGGUCAAGGCCUACCAAGGCAACGAUGGGUAGCUGGUCUGAGAGGACGAUCAGCCACACUGGGACUGAGACACGGCCCAGACUCCUACGGGAGGCAGCAGUGGGGAAUCUUGCGCAAUGCGCGAAAGCGUGACGCAGCAACACCGCGUGAGGGAAGACGGCCUUAGGGUUGUAAACCUCUUUCAGAUGGGACGAAGGUUGUCCGGUGAAUAGCCGAGAUGAUUGACGGUACCGUCAGAAGAAGCUCCGGCUAACUACGUGCCAGCAGCCGCCGUAAAAC